UAUAAUAGAGAGGAACCCAAUCAUAUUUCAUUUUUUUCUCAAACACCUUACCACAAAUAUCCUGUACUUUUACUGAUUAUGGAAGGGUUGAGUAACAUUCAUCUCUAUGAGCAUUCUCGUCUAGGAUACAAUCUUUCUAGUACAAUAAUAUGCAUACAAUGUAUUUCCUAAAGAACUUACAAUCCUGCUCAAAGAUCCCUGACUCCAACAAUUCAAAGGUAAAUUAGGAAUCUCACUGGUAUUAUAGUCAACACUUCAGCAUUAAAAUCGAAGUCAGUUGUCCACGCUUUCAAAAUCAUUGGUCUAUUAUUUAUAGUAUGAGGUACUAAGCAUACUAGUACAUCUCUAUCCGCCAUCGAAUUAAACAACUUUACAAAGUACCCCUCAUUAUGGUAGUCACUUUAGGCUUUGCUGUAAAGUUCCACUGUCCUACAAUAACCCGCUCUAAAGCACCAAUGGAAGGUGAAUCACCAGCAACAUACAAUAUAUCUGCCUUUCUCCAUUUUUCAUUUUCCUUGUCAAGUUCAGCAGCUUGUAAUUGCACCAUCAGAGCACCAUCCUUAAUUACCAGAGCCACAAAUUUCAGAUCCAUGAGACCGCUUCUGCCCCUCAGAUGCUUGUUGUAAGUCCAACUUCCUCUUAGCUAUUAUCUUAGUCUCAAGUGUUAUGUGGGCCGGGUCGGGUCAACCCAAAACCGGCCCAUUAAAUUUAGCCGGGUUGUGGGGAGGGUUGGGUCCGGUUUGUGGUUAAGUGGGUCGGGUCCGGGUUCAACAGUAAAAUUUUAAAAAAUAACCUUAACCUGGCCCACUUAAUUCAAUCCGGUUAAAUCAACCUAAAUCCGAUCAAAUCCAGUUAAAAAUUCAAUCAAACCCAAUAAAAGAAAUUUUUUUUUUUUCAAUAUACACUAUAUAUAUCCACCUAUAUACAUUUUAAAUACGUUAAACAAUAUAUAUACACUAUAUAUAUAGUAUAUACUACAUUAAAAUUUAAAAAAUAUAUACACAUAUACACAUUUACACAUAUAUACAUAACAUUCAAUAUAUACGACUAUACGUACUACUUUAAAUAAAACAUAUACUACAAUAUAUAUAUACACUACAAUAUAUAUAAUUAUAUAUAUAGUUAUAUACUAAUUACUAAUUUAUAAAACAUAUACACAUGUAUAUGUUAAAUAUACACAUCUAUAGAAGAUAUAUACACAUAUAUACGCAGCAUUCAAUAUAUAUGUAUUACUUUAAAUAAAACAUAUACUAUAAUAUAUAUACAUUAAAAUAUAUAUAUAAUUAUAUACUAACUUAUAAAAUAUAUACACAUGUAUACGUUAAAUAUACACGUCUAUAAAAGAUAUAUACACAUAUAUACGCACCAUUCAAUAUAUAUGUACUACUUUAAAUAAAACAUAUACUACAAUAUAUAUACAAUGUAUAAAACAUAUACACAUGUAUAUAUUAAAUAUACGCAUCUAUAGAAGAUAUAUACAUAAAUAUACAAAACAUAUGCUACUUAAUAUAAUAAAUUAAUAAUACUUGAUAGUAAAUUAAUAAUAUAUUAAAAGUAAGUUUUAAAUUUAAACAAGAAAUUCAAUUUAAAUCAUUAAAUGAAAAAAAUUACAAAGUAAGGACUAAGGAGUGAAUGAAUGUUGAAUUUUAUUGAUUGUAAAAUGAUCCAAAAUUUAUAAUUUACAUGAAUGAAAAAUCUACAAAUUAUGCAUCAUUUUUUUCAAUUCAUUCAUUUUAUUAUUAACGGGAACUUGCACAGGAUAAUCAAAAUCAACGAGAAAAAAAUCAUGUAUUGGACUUGAUUCUGCUGAGUUCUCCCCUGAAGACAUAAUUUCUUCAAGUUUCUGCUCGUCGUUUGGCUCCGGUUCCAUUCCUUGAUUUCUUCUUUCCGCUCUAAUCCAAUCUCUGAGGCAAACUAGAACAUUCAUUUCAUUGCUUCCCAAUGAGUGUCGGUUGUCUUCAAGUUGCUUUUGUCCCUGACUAAAAACGCUCUUUGAUGCAACGGUUGACAUUGGAACAUUCAAGAUAUCUCUAGGUAAUCUUGAAAGCACAUGCUAUUGUGUUUCAUUACUCCUCCAUCAAUCCAAUGUGUUGAUCCAUCGUCUACGAUCCUCUGGCAGCGACCGAAGAUAAUAUUUAAGCUUUUCCCGAUAAGUUGAUGUAUAAGCUCUCUCAUCAACACUGUUCCAACAAGGUAAUUCAUAAAAGGAAUCAGGAAAAUCACUAUGUGCCGGCCUUUUAGAAGAUGAUGGCUCCUCGGGAG
rnacentral:lncRNA from 1 species